AUCAUGCAGUAAUGUCAUUUCAAAUGGGUUUUGGUGUGGAGAGGAGAGGGGGAGGUGUCUGGUGUUUAAAUGCCAGUCUGUUAAAGGAGGAAGGAUAUAGAAAUGAAAUUGUUGAAUGUAUUAAUGAUGAAAUGUCUAAUGUACUGUUAAAAGAGAAUGUGUGUUUAUGGUGGGAGGAAGUGAAAGUAAAAGUAAAAAAAUAGGAGUAUUAGGUACGCAAAAAAUCAUAACCGUUUAGAUAAGCAGAAAGAAAUAAUGCUUAGGAAUAGGAUGUUGCAUGAACUUGAAAAGGCUGAUACGGAUCCAGACUAUGAUGUUGUGAAUUAUUUGAAAAUCCAUGCAGAGCUGGGUCGUACGCAAAAAAUCAUAACCCGUUUAGAUAAGCAGAAAGAAAUAAUGCUUAGGAAUAGGAUGUUGCAUGAACUUGAAAAGGCUGAUACGGAUCCAGACUAUGAUGUUGUGAAUUAUUUGAAAAUCCAUGCAGAGCUGGGUCGUUAUGAAAAAAAUAAAUGUUUGGGUGCUAUUGUUAGGAGCAGGGCACAGUACGCUUUGGAGGGAGAGAAAUGUACAUCCUUUUUUUGGGGUCUGGAAAAAAGAAAACAAACUAAGAGUUACAUUGUAGAGUUGGAAGAUGAAAGAGGUGUAAAGGUAAACGAUUUUGUUGGGAUCUUAGAGACAGUUGAAACCUUUUACAGAAAUCUUUACAAAAAGAAUGAUGUAGAUAAAGUGUGUGUUGUAAAAAAGUUGGAAGAUGAAAGAGGUGUAAAGGUAAACGAUUUUGUUGGGAUCUUAGAGACAGUUGAAAC
rnacentral:lncRNA from 1 species